GGGCGCGUAGCUCAGUUGGUCAGAGCACCACGCUUACAACGUGGGGGUCGCCGGUUCGAGCCCGGCCGCGCCCA
rnacentral:tRNA from 2 species